CUUUCAUACAAAGAAUUUAGAUCUCAAAUAUGAUUUUAGAAUCUGAAAUUCAUAUUUGUGCAUUAGAAUUUUGAUCAUAAAAAAAUCAACAAUUAGGUCAUGUAAUAAGAUUACAUCUAAGAUUUUUGAUUUGAGUCAUAUGGGUCUAAUUUGAUUAACUAAUUGGUCAAACCAAGUCAAGUAUUGAAUUGAAUUAGAUUAAUUAAAUUAAUGAUCAUACAAUUAUUAUUGAUCAAAUCAAUGAGUCUCAUAUGUAGAAUCGAUUAACCUAAGGACCUAAUUUGGCUCGUUAGUUUGAGCUCGAUUUGCUUUAGCUGACCAAUUUUGAUCAAUCGAUCUAUUAGUGUCUAAGAAAAGUUAAUGGGACAUGAUUAUUUAAUUGGUUCCGUUAGCCAACUUGAUCAAUUCAUUGGUGUCUAAGGAAGGCAACGGGAGGACCUCCACCGUUCUCCACUUAUCUGGCCAAUUUGGAAGAUUGAGUCUUGAAUUAGAUUGCUUAGCAGUUUGGUUUAGCCCAUGCUAGUU
rnacentral:lncRNA from 1 species